AUUGAACGCUGGCGGCAGGCCUAAUACAUGCAAGUCGAGGGGUAGCAAGAUUGUAGCAAUACAAUUGUUGACGACCGGCAAACGGGUGCGGAACACGUACACAACCUUCCUACAAGUGGGGAAUAGCCCAGAGAAAUUUGGAUUAAUACCCCGUAACAUAGCGAUGUGGCAUCACAUUGCUAUUAUAGCUUCGGCGCUAGUUGAUGGGUGUGCGGCUGAUCAGAUAGUUGGCGGGGUAACGGCCCACCAAGUCUACGAUCAGUAGCUGAUGUGAGAGCAUGAUCAGCCACACGGGCACUGAGACACGGGCCCGACUCCUACGGGAGGCAGCAGUAAGGAAUAUUGGACAAUGGACGCAAGUCUGAUCCAGCCAUGCCGCGUGAAGGAUUAAGGUCCUCUGGAUUGUAAACUUCUUUUAUAAGGGACGAAAAAAGGUCUUUCUAGAUCGUCUGACGGUACCUUAUGAAUAAGCACCGGCUAACUCCGUGCCAGCCGCCGCAGUAAAAC
rnacentral:rRNA from 1 species